rnacentral:rRNA from 1 species
ACACAUGCAGUCGAGCGGUAGCACAGAGAGCUUGCUCUCGGGUGACGAGCGGCGGACGGGUGAGUAAUGUCUGGGAAACUGCCUGAUGGAGGGGGAUAACUACUGGAAACGGUAGCUAAUACCGCAUAACGUCGCAAGACCAAAGAGGGGGACCUUCGGGCCUCUUGCCAUCAGAUGUGCCCAGAUGGGAUUAGCUAGUAGGUGGGGUAACGGCUCACCUAGGCGACGAUCCCUAGCUGGUCUGAGAGGAUGACCAGCCACACUGGAACUGAGACACGGUCCAGACUCCUACGGGAGGCAGCAGUGGGGAAUAUUGCACAAUGGGCGCAAGCCUGAUGCAGCCAUGCCGCGUGUAUGAAGAAGGCCUUCGGGUUGUAAAGUACUUUCAGCGAGGAGGAAGGCAUUGUGGUUAAUAACCACAGUGAUUGACGUUACUCGCAGAAGAAGCACCGGCUAACUCCGUGCCAGCAGCCGCGGUAAUACGGAGGGUGCAAGCGUUAAUCGGAAUUACUGGGCGUAAAGCGCACGCAGGCGGUCUGUCAAGUCGGAUGUGAAAUCCCCGGGCUCAACCUGGGAACUGCAUUCGAAACUGGCAGGCUAGAGUCUUGUAGAGGGGGGUAGAAUUCCAGGUGUAGCGGUGAAAUGCGUAGAGGUCUGGAGGAAUACCGGUGGCGAAGCGGCCCCCUGGACAAGACUGACGCUCAGUGCGAAGCGUGGGAGCAAACAGGAUUAGAUACCCCUGUAGUCCACGCCGUAA